AGUCGAACGAUGCAAGACUGGUGCUUGCACUGGUUGGAUUAGUGGCGAACGGGUGAGUAAUACGUGAGUAACCUGCCUUUGACUCUGGGAUAAGCCUGGGAAACUGGGUCUAAUACCGGAUAUGACAAGGAACCGCAUGGUUUUUUGUGGAAAGGGUUUGUACUGGUUUUAGAUGGGCUCACGGCCUAUCAGCUUGUUGGUGGGGUAAUGGCUCACCAAGGCGACGACGGGUAGCCGGCCUGAGAGGGUGACCGGCCACACUGGGACUGAGACACGGCCCAGACUCCUACGGGAGGCAGCAGUGGGGAAUAUUGCACAAUGGGCGCAAGCCUGAUGCAGCGACGCCGCGUGAGGGAUGACGGCCUUCGGGUUGUAAACCUCUUUCAGCAGGGAAGAAGCGAAAGUGACGGUACCUGCAGAAGAAGCGCCGGCUAACUACGUGCCAGCAGCCGCGGUAAUACGUAGGGCGCGAGCGUUGUCCGGAAUUAUUGGGCGUAAAGAGCUUGUAGGCGGUUUGUUGCGUCUGCUGUGAAAGACCGGGGCUUAACCCCGGUAUUGCAGUGGGUACGGGCAGACUAGAGUGCAGUAGGGGAGACUGGAAUUCCUGGUGUAGCG
rnacentral:rRNA from 1 species